GACGAACGCUGGCGGCGUGCUUAAAACAUGCAAGUCGAACGAAGUGGCGAGCGGGUGAGUAUUACGUGGGUAACCUGCCCUCCUUGUUGGGAUAAGCCUUGGAAACGGGGUCUAAAAACGAGUAAAGGGGGAUGGGGUCGCGGCCUAUGAGCUGGUUGGUGGGGUGAAGGCCUACCAAGGCGGUGACGGGUUGACGGCCUGAGAGGGUGACCGGCAACGUGGGGACGGCGAUACGGCCCAGGGUCGUACGGGAGGGGGAAGUGGGGGAUAUUGCACAAUGGGGGAAAGCCUAAUGCAGCGGCGCCGCGUAGGGGAUGAAGGCGUUCGGGUUGUAAACCCGUUUCGCAAUCGAACGGGUAGGUGAAGAAGAAGCGCCGGCUAACUACGUGCCAGCAGCCGCGGUAAUAC
rnacentral:rRNA from 1 species